rnacentral:rRNA from 1 species
UACGGGGGGGGCAAGCGUUGUUCGGAAUUACUGGGCGUAAAGGGCUCGUAGGCGGCCAACUAAGUCGGAUGUGAAAUCCCCAGGCUUAACCUGGGAACUGCAUCCGAUACUGGAUGGCUUGAAUCCGGGAGAGGGAUGCAGAAUUCCAGGUGUAGCGGUGAAAUGCGUAGAUAUCUGGAGGAAUACCGGUGGCGAAGGCGGCAUCCUGGACCGGCAUUGACGCUGAUGAGCGAAAGCUAGGGGAG